CAGUAGCCGCGGGAAUACAGAGGGUGCGAGCGUUAAUCGGAAUUACUGGGCGUAAAGGGCACGUAGGCGGUGAGAUGUGUGUGGUGUGAAAGCCCCGGGCUUAACCUGGGAAGUGCAUCGCAAACUAUCCGACUGGAGUAUAUGAGAGGGUGGCGGAAUUUCCGGUGUAGCGGUGAAGUGCGUAGAGAUCGGAAGGAACGUCAAUGGCGAAGGCAGCCACCUGGCAUAAUACUGACGCUGAGGCGCGAAAGCGUGGGGAGCGAACAGGAUUAGAUACCCCCGUAGUCCCUGUCUCUUAUAC
rnacentral:rRNA from 1 species